rnacentral:rRNA from 1 species
UGGGGAAUUUUGGACAAUGGGCGCAAACCUGAUCCAGCAAUGCCGCGUGCAGGAUGAAGGCCUUCGGGUUGUAAACUGCUUUUGUACGGAACGAAACGGCUCUGGUUAAUACCUGGGGCUAAUGACGGUACCGUAAGAAUAAGCACCGGCUAACUACGUGCCGGCAGCCGCGGUAAUACGUAGGGUGCGAGCGUUAAUCGGAAUUACUGGGCGUAAAGCGUGCGCAGGCGGUGAUGUAAGACAGAUGUGAAAUCCCCGGGCUCAACCUGGGACCUGCAUUUGUGACUGCAUCGCUGGAGUGCGGCAGAGGGGGAUGGAAUUCCGCGUGUAGCAGUGAAAUGCGUAGAUAUGCGGAGGAACACCGAUGGCGAAGGCAAUCCCCUGGGCCUGCACUGACGCUCAUGCACGAAAGCGUGGGGAGCAAACA